CAGUCGAGGGGCAGCGGGGGAGUACAAUACUCCCGCCGGCGACCGGCGCACGGGUGAGUAACACGUAUGAAACCUGCCCGUAGCAGGGGGGGAUAAGCGGAAGAAAUUCCGUCUAAUACCGCGUAACAACCCUUGGAGGCAUCUCCUCGGGUUUAAAGGAAGCGAUUCCGGCUACGGAUGGUCAUGCGUCGCAUUAGCUGGUUGGCGGGGUAACGGCCCACCAAGGCGACGAUGCGUAGGGGUUCUGAGAGGAAGGUCCCCCACACUGGUACUGAGACACGGACCAGACUCCUACGGGAGGCAGCAGUGAGGAAUAUUGGUCAAUGGCCGCAGGGCUGAACCAGCCAAGUCGCGUGAGGGAUGACGGUCCUAUGGAUUGUAAACCUCUUUUGUCAGGGAGCAAAGGGCGCCACGUGUGGCGCUUUGCGAGUACCUGAAGAAAAAGCAUCGGCUAACUCCGUGCCAGCAGCCGCGGUAAUACGGAGGAUGCGAGCGUUAUCCGGAUUUAUUGGGUUUAAAGGGUGCGCAGGCGGAAGAUCAAGUCAGCGGUAAAAUUGAGAGGCUCAACCUCUUCGAGCCGUUGAAACUGGUUUUCUUGAGUGAGCGAGAAGUAUGCGGAAUGCGUGGUGUAGCGGUGAAAUGCAUAGAUAUCACGCAGAACUCCGAUUGCGAAGGCAGCAUACCGGCGCUCAACUG
rnacentral:rRNA from 1 species